CACGUAGGGUGCGAGCGUUGUCCGGAAUUAUUGGGCGUAAAGAGCUCGUAGGCGGUGUGUCGCGUCGGCCGUGAAAACCUGCAGCUUAACUGUGGGCUUGCGGUCGAUACGGGCAUCACUGGAGUUCGGCAGGGGAGACUGGAAUUCCUGGUGUAGCGGUGAAAUGCGCAGAUAUCAGGAGGAACACCGGUGGCGAAGGCGGCUUUCUGGACAGAUACCGACGCUGAGGCACGAAAGCUAGGGGAGCAAACAGG
rnacentral:rRNA from 1 species